rnacentral:rRNA from 1 species
AACGAACGCUGGCGGCAGGCUUAACACAUGCAAGUCGAGCGAUCCUUCGGGAUAGCGGCGGACGGGUGAGUAACGCGUGGGAAUAUGCCUUGGGGUAAGGAACAACCGCUGGAAACGGCGGCUAAUACCUUAUGAUGUCUACGGACCAAAGAUUUAUCGCCCCAAGAUUGGCCCGCGUUGGAUUAGGUAGUUGGUGAGGUAACGGCUCACCAAGCCGACGAUCCAUAGCUGGUUUGAGAGGAUGAUCAGCCACACUGGGACUGAGACACGGCCCAGACUCCUACGGGAGGCAGCAGUGGGGAAUCUUGGACAAUGGGGGAAACCCUGAUCCAGCCAUGCCGCGUGAGCGAUGACGGCCUUAGGGUUGUAAAGCUCUUUCGCCAGGGAAGAUAAUGACUGUACCUGGUAAAGAAGUCCCGGCUAACUCCG